rnacentral:rRNA from 1 species
CAAUAGCGUAUAUUUAAGUUGUUGCAGUUAAAAAGCUCGUAGUUGGAUUUUGGGUCGGGGGCACCGGUCCGCCGUUCCGGUGUGCACUGGUGGCCCCUUCCUUUCUGCCGGGGACGUGCGUCGCACUUAAUUGGGUGGCAUUCGGAGUCGGCGUUGUUACUUUGAAAAAAUUAGAGUGUUCAAAGCAAGCCAUCGCUCUGAAUACAUUAGCAUGGAAUAACAUGAUAGGACUCCGGUCUUAUUUUGUUGGUUUCCGAGACUGGAGUAAUGAUUAAGAGGGACAGUCGGGGGCAUCCGUAUUUCAUUGUCAGAGGUGAAAUUCUUGGAUUUAUGAAAGACGAACUUCUGCGAAAGCAUUUGCCAAGGAUGUUUUCAUUA